ACUCCGGUGGCCUAGUGAUUAGAGCGUUCGCCUCGAAAGCGGGAGGUCGUGAGUUUGAUCCCAUUUCGAGUA